rnacentral:tRNA from 23 species
GAAAAUCCGUCGAAUUUAAAAAUCGUGAGGGUUCAAGUCCCUCUAUCCCC